rnacentral:rRNA from 1 species
UACGAAAGGGGGGCUAGCGUUGCUCGGAAUCACUGGGCGUAAAGCGCACGUAGGCGGCUUGUUUAAGUCAGGGGUGAAAUCCUGGAGCUCAACUCCAGAACUGCCUUUGAUACUGAGGAUCUUGAGUUCGGGAGAGGUGAGUGGAACUGCGAGUGUAGAGGUGAAAUUCGUAGAUAUUCGCAAGAACACCAGUGGCGAAGGCGGCUCACUGGCCCGGUACUGACGCUGAGGUGCGAAAGCGUGGGGAGCGAACAGG